rnacentral:rRNA from 1 species
AGUGAACGCUGGCGGUAGGCCUAACACAUGCAAGUCGAACGGCAGCACAGUAAGAGCUUGCUCUUACGGGUGGCGAGUGGCGGACGGGUGAGGAAUACAUCGGAAUCUACUUUUUCGUGGGGGAUAACGUAGGGAAACUUACGCUAAUACCGCAUACGACCUACGGGUGAAAGCAGGGGAUCUUCGGACCUUGCGCGAUUGAAUGAGCCGGUGUCGGAUUAGCUAGUUGGCGGGGUAAGGGCCCACCAAGGCGACGAUCCGUAGCUGGUCUGAGAGGAUGAUCAGCCACACUGGAACUGAGACACGGUCCAGACUCCUACGGGAGGCAGCAGUGGGGAAUAUUGGACAAUGGGCGCAAGCCUGACCCAGCCAUACCGCGUGGGUGAAGAAGGCCUUCGGGUUGUAAAGCCCUUUUGUUGGGAAAGAAAAGCAGCAGGUUAAUACCCCGCUGUUCUGACGGUACCCAAAGAAUAAGCACCGGCUAACUUCGUG